rnacentral:rRNA from 1 species
AUUGAACGCUGGCGGCAUGCCUUACACAUGCAAGUCGAACGGUAGCGGGCCUUCGGGUGCCGACGAGUGGCGAACGGGUGAGUAAUGUAUCGGAACGUACCUUUCAGUGGGGGAUAACGUAGCGAAAGUUACGCUAAUACCGCAUAUUCUGUGAGCAGGAAAGCAGGGGAUCGCAAGACCUUGCGCUGAUUGAGCGGCCGAUAUCAGAUUAGCUAGUUGGUGAGGUAAAGGCUCACCAAGGCGACGAUCUGUAGCGGGUCUGGGAGGAUGGUCCGCCACACUGGAACUGAGACACGGUCCAGACUCCUACGGGAGGCAGCAGUGGGGAAUUUUGGACAAUGGGGGCAACCCUGAUCCAGCCAUGCCGCGUGAGUGAAGAAGGCCUUCGGGUUGUAAAGCUCUUUCGGCCGGGAAGAAAUCGUACGGGUUAAUACCCUGUGCGGAUGACGGUACCGGCAUAAGAAGCACCGGCUAACUACGUGCCAGCAGCCGCCGUAAUAC